UAUAAAAAAAAGUUUUUUCCUGGAAUACCCCUUUAAUGUUGCUGGUAAAAGCAGCGGUUUGUGUACAGAUAACCAGCCGCACAUUCACUAAAAGGCACAUAACAACUUGCAUACUUAUCUUUAGAAACCCAAUGUCUGUCUUUGUUCUCGUGUAGCAAUGACAACAACUCGGCGCAUUUAAAACUAUUUUCCACUGUUGGAAACUUUUCUUAUUCUUUUAAUGCUUUAUAGCUAUAGUUAAUGGAGAGUUAAAGUGUUUUUGGCGUGGCACAGUCCAGUAAGCGCUGCCUCUGUAUCCGGAUAGCUUUUCUUGUCUAAUAAAAGCAGAAUGAUUAUCAUACUGGUGAUUGCACCACUUCUUACAAGGCAUUUUCUGGCUGGAUUCAAUUAUUCCGUUCUCACUUCAGGUACCUGCAGGUCUGCUAGAUGCUGCUCACCAUCAUAUUUUACGAAGAUAAAGCAAGAAAAGUAAUGAGAGGUUGCUGGAGGUUUUUAAGACUUCUAUAGAAGAAAAAACUCAAGGGGAAAAAAAACGCCAUAGUCUCAACAGGCUGCAGUUUUGAAAAACUGCUUCUGAGCCCAGAAACGCAGAAAAAUGACAGAAAGGAGUGAACAAACGUUAAAGAGAAAGAUGUCAACUAACUUCUGGAUGUGGCGUUUUUUCACUGAAAAAUGCUGUGUGGCAAAAUGGGCGUUUUUUACAGUGUUUUUGCUAGAAAAUCCUUAGUGGAGUUCCAGCCAUAAGACCGCUUUUUACAACACAACAGAGGUUUGUCCUUCCGUAGACAUUUCUUUGAGAUAUCCACAGGAAUAGAGUCAGAGCACCCCUUGAACAAGUCCCCCUCCCCCCUCGGCUGGCUCCGUCUACACUGCACAGUUCCUACUGAUGGUGAAGAGUAUGGGGAGGAAGUCUAUAAGUAUAUAAUCUUGGAGAAAGAACAAUGGACAAUGGAGGCAACAAUGCCACACACUCAUGACCUAUGUAGACGCUGGAGCAAUGAGCAGCUUAAAUUUUUGACUAUAUGUAUAAUUGUUUUUUUUUUUUGUGUUCUCUAACCCAAGGUGGGUCUGGCAUGCUGGGUUUUGUGAGUUUGGAACAGCUGGAGAACCACAGGUUGGAGAACACUGCUUCAACUAUUUCCUUAGUAUCAAGUUGCUAUCCAUUUAACUUUCAUCAGUGAAAAUUGUACUUUUUAUACCUCCUUAAAGUGUAUCUGUUUUAUAAUAUGUUACCCAGUACCUAAUCCUGACCGCGCACAUCAAAUUUUUAUGCCUCUAUCACCUAUAUUUAUUAUAAAAAUACCUCUUUUCAUUAGCUCACAGUGUUAGAAAUCCUCUUAGGGGAAGGGACGUGUCCCUCCCUUGUGGUGGUGGGAGGUGAUUGCGGUGUUGGCUCCUACAGCCUUGUCCAUGAAUCAUUUAUCUCUUGUCUAUGACUCACGGACAAGCCUGAUGCUGCUGCAGGACUUGUUAGUGUCCCAGUAGGUAUGGGGACCCCCAUGGGAUUUUCAGGAGACAUUUUCUUUAUUAAAUAUAAAAAAAAAUUUAAAAAACCAUAUUACAAAAUAUAUUUUAUUUUCAUCAGAAACAAUAUAUAAAAAGUUUUUGAUCUGACAGUGCCCAUUUCCCUUUUCUUAUAACCGGUUGCUGUCUAAGGACGAGCCGGCUCGUCCUGAGGCGGCAACCAUUGUAUAGCGCAGGCUCCCGACUCGAGCCCCCAGCUGAUUCCUGUAGAUGGGGGCCGGCGUUAUAGCCGACAUGCUGCAAUCGCCGCGGCCCGCUAUUAACCCUUUAGAUCACCGCUGUCAAAGUUGACAGCGACGUCUAAAGGGAAAUAUAGUGAGGUGGAUGGCCCCCCCGCAGCACAAUCGCAAGGGGGGGCUUUGGGAGCGAUCCACUGCUGAGGUAGCCGGAAGGCUUACCUCACGUCCUCCUAUGCCGUCUGCUGCGCUGUGAAUGAUAAAGCCUGGCAGCACCAGGCUUUAUUAAUCGAGCGCAGAGCACACAGAUCAAUGUGGUUCUAGGAGACCACAUUGAUCUGUAUGAGGAAUCUAAUGAUUCCUCCUAAAAGUCCUCUAAGGGGACUAAAAGUGUAAAGAAAAACAUUGAAUAAAAAGUUUUAAAAAACACCCAUUAACACCUUCAUUAUUAAAAGUGUAAGUCAGCCCCCUUUCCCCAAAUUCCAUAUAAAAAAUAUGUAACCAUAAUAAAAAUAAACAUAUGUGGUAUCGCCGCGUGCAUAAAUGUCAGAACUAUAAAAAUACAUAAUUAAACCGCACGGUCAAUGGCCUACACGCAAAAAAAAAAAAAGUCCAAAAUGGCGUAUUUUUUUGGCACUUUUUAGAUCAUGAAAAAAUGAAUAAAAAGCGAUCAAAAAGUCUGAUCAAUACAAAAAAUGGUACUGCUAAAAACUUCAGAUCACAGCACACAGCAAAAUGUAUUGCGUAGAAACGAAAGCCCCCAAGAGCUACAAAUUUAUUUAUUUUUCUUAAAUUUUGUCGCACAAUGAUUUUUUUUGGGUUUUGCCGUAAAUUUUUGGGUAAAAAGACUGAUGUCAUUACAAAGUAAGAGUGGUGGCACACAAAAAAAAGCCAUCAUAUGGAUUUGUAGGUGCAAAAUUGAAAGGGUUAUGAUUUUUAAAAGGUAAGGAGGAAAAAACUAAAAUGUAGAAACGGGAAAACGCUCAGUCCUUAAGGGGUUAAACAACUCCAGCCCUUUAGUGUGACUAGGGCUGAGCUGCAGUACUAAAGAUAGUUUUAUUAGACUCUUGACAAGAGAAGAGUUGCUCCUUAAGAGGGGCUUCCAUCCUCGUCUAGAUUCACAUUUCUACACAUGUAUAAGGGGAAAUUAACAGGAACCCAUCUUGUAUGUACAACUAUGUAAAUCUU